UUAGGUUUCAGAUUGUCUCAGCUUUUGACAUGCCUUCUUCACUAAGCUUAAUCAUUUCUAGCUUUUGAUUUGAAGUAAGGGAAGUGCAGCUCUUCCUUUCACU